AUUGAACGCUGGCGGCAGGCCUAACUCAUGCAAGUCGAACGGUAACAGGAAACAGCUUGCUGUUUCGCUGGCGAGUGGCGGACGGGUGAGUAAUGUCUGGGAAACUGCCUGAUGGAGGGGGAUAACUACUGGAAACGGUAGCUAAUACCGCAUAACGUCGCAAGACCAAAGAGGGGGACCUUCGGGCCUCUUGCCAUCGGAUGUGCCCAGAUGGGAUUAGCUAGUAGGUGGGGUAACGGCUCACCUAGGCGACGAUCCCUAGCUGGUCUGAGAGGAUGACCAGCCACACUGGAACUGAGACACGGUCCAGACUCCUACGGGAGGCAGCAGUGGGGAAUAUUGCACAAUGGGCGCAAGCCUGAUGCAGCCAUGCCGCGUGUAUGAAGAAGGCCUUCGGGUUGUAAAGUACUUUCAGCGGGGAGGAAGGGAGUAAAGUUAAUACCUUUGCUCAUUGACGUUACCCGCAGAAGAAGCACCGGCUAACUCCGUG
rnacentral:rRNA from 1 species